UUUGCUUUCUAUGUAUGGUUUACUUGGGUUGUUCCCGACAUCUGGUGAAAGUUUCAUGUCAACAGCACUUUUAGAAAUAUAUUUACUGAGAAAACUGGUGACGUGUUUAAUACUUAUUUUACCCGCUGUAUAUAUAAAACUUUUUUGCUACCAUUUCCACUAGAGCGAGCUUUUGUUCUCCUCUCUAGUUUUGUCUCUGAGUGGGUUCAGUCCCAGUGUGGUUUUGUGGCAUAAGUUAUGCUGUGACAGCUGUCCUCUUCUCAUUUUUUCUGUUCACCCACUGAAAGUAACAGCUAAUGAUAUCUCUCCAUUCUUUUGUUUAAGCAUUCGGUUGUGGGGAUGCCUGUCGCUCUCCUAAGUUUCUUUCUGUUGGUGUUGAAUAUAGAGUCUGCAGUCUCUGUCUGUGACAUCAGAGUGCAUACGAUCAAUUUCGGAUGCCAUCUUGAGUGGAAUUGUCUUGAUGCCAACCCUAAAACGACUUACACUGUUUUGAGCAAGCAUGGUACAUCAUGGGUAAAUGUUUCGGGCUGCAUCCAGAUUUUGCAGCAAAGCUGUGAUCUGUCAGAAGUCUUUCCUAACUUAUACACCUACAACUUCAUCAGACUGACAUCUGAGCUUCUCUGGCUGAAUGAAACUCUGUAUUGCACCCCUGUAGAUGACCCUGCUGCCAAAUUCAGCCCGCCCUCCAUAACAAUCUCCAUGGCCAAUGGAAGUCUCUGGGUGGCGGUAAAGUUUCCUUGUGCUCCAUCCAUAAGCUGCACAUUUGAAGGUGAUGAUGAAUUUGAUGAGGAGGAGGAGGAGGAGGAGGAGGAGGAGAUAGGAUGCCCCUGUCUUGUAACUGAUGUUGUUAAAAGUCUCUGGGCAACAGUCACUCUAUACAAUGAACAGAAUCUCUCAGACAAACAGGCACACACCGCUGAAGUGAUGCGUGAAACCCCAUUCAAGGUGGAAUUUGGUUUUCUUACACCAGGGCAAGUGUACUGUGCUGUGGCCAACUUCACAUUUGAGGGUGUGCUGGUCCCUUCUCCCCCGAGCAUCCCGCAGUGUGUUUACAUACCAGCAAAUAACGAAAGCCUUAUCGUCGUGAUUGUGUGUGCUGUUCUCAUCACUCUUGGCUUAGUAUUUCUUCUGGUCUGGAGACAGUGUGCAUCUUCUGAAUAUCCCCUGCCCAGAUCUUUGGCUUUACUUCGAGACCUGGAACUUCAGAAAAAGACUUCUGUUGACUCCAGUGAAGCUGCACCACACAACGGGAGCUCUGAGGGUGACCACGUUUCUGUUGUUUCCUUCUCUGACUUUACACUCACGGACACCCAGUCUUCUUACUACAACACCCAAAGUCUGGCCAACGGCUGUUACACAAGCCCCAUCCUGCAAAAUCCAGACUGCACUGAGGAAUCUGCGCCGUCUGAAGAGUUGAGCACAGAAGUCCAACAUGAUAAGUUCUAUCUGUUAACAUCACAUCCAAUUCUAGAAACAGAGGUGGGAUGUCCAUAUCAGAAUCAUUUACUGUCACCCAGAGACAUCCCUCUGAGCUCGGUGCGAGUUGAACACACUCAACAGGACGAGACAUCAACUGAAGACCCAGAGUGGUCUGAAGAUGUCAUGUGGGGAAAACUGAAUAUGAGACCAAUAGAAGACAUCCAAACAAACUGAAACUACCGAUUUUUUCCCCCAAAAGGUUAAAUAUAACGUUUUUUAGACUCAAGACAGCUUUGUUCUGUGUAUAAUUUUUUGUUUUUUUGGUGCUAUUAAUUUGCAACAAUGUGAUUCUGUCCUUUCACCCACUAACUAUUGUCAUUGCUGUGAAAGGGAAGUUGCAAUGAAAUGGAAGUAGCGACAGAUCUUUUCUUCUAUACUGUGAUGUACUGUACAUCCAAGUGUAACUGCGAAUUGAAAAAAAAGAUAAGCACUUGAUUCUAUUUAGUUGUUGUUUGGAAAUGCAGAUGAACAUGAGCUUGCAGAAGAAGAGACAUUUUCGUUUUCACCUUAAGAUCCAGUUAUGAUAAAUUGAUUUAAAAUUUUAGAUUAUUAUUAUUAUUAUUAUUAUGAUUUUAAAAAAAGUAUGCACAUGCGGAUGAUCUAUUACAUGCCUCUGAAAAAUAGAAAGAGUGAGUUUAAAUUUCAUGCUGUUUAUUAAAUAGUAUUAUAUGAUGUUAUUAUACAUUAUAUAUGUCAUACUGACUAUUAUAUAUCCUCCAUCUUGGUCUGGAUGCCUUAUGUUGGGUAAUAUUGAGUUCAGCAUGUAUUCCCUUUACUUUAGGGGGAAUUGUGUCAUGUCAUGCAUGUGUACAUCAAUGGUCAAAUGUCACUGACCUGAAUCUAGCAGUCAUUAUUAUUACUGCCCUUCAUGGUUUAUUUGGGAUCCCCCCCAUGAGCCAGUGACUCAGAGCACUAUAAAUCCUUAUGCGGUCCCUAUGAGGAGCAGUACUAUUUUCGGGUAACUGUAUGCUUUCUGUAUGGCUUGAUUCAUUGUUUGAAUUUUUUAUUUUUUACUUCUGACUCAGAGUUUCCCUAAUUUGACUCAUUUUCUGUGGACUGUGUCUCAAGUUCACCAAGCUAAGGUGCACAAUUUUUGCUGAUCUUGCCUGUUUUCUGGAACAUUUAUGGAAACGCUCCCAGGAAACAAAUAUAAAUCUAGAUUCUGGAAAGUGUAUUGUAGAUUUGUAUAGAAUUAUACAUGUUUUCUUAUUUCCUCUUUUGAGAGAGUUGUAUUAGGACUUGUAUUCUGUGAGGUCUAAUUGGUUCAGUUGAAUUUUGGUACUGUAUCAGUGAAGGGAAAUUUUGUUGUAGAACAAUAAAUACAGUACGUUUUGAGGGGGAAGUUUGUUUUUGGACUUUUUCUGAAGCCAUAACUAUGCGUGGCAAAUAUGCCCCCUCCAAACUCAUUUCUAAAAUGUAGAUAUUCACAUAUUACACUUAACGGAUGACUCCAGUUUUAAAUGUCAAGUUUCUUGUUGACCAAACGUAGCAACGUGGAAAGAAGUCUGCAUGGGUUUAGUUCAGCUUUAAUAAACCACAGCCCACAAGCCUGAAAAACAACAUGCAUAGCAUACACAUAUACCGUAUAUAAGGCCCAAAAGACAAAGUAAAUAAAACAAGAAAUGCAAGCUAAACUUGAACUGAAAUCUUUACCAAAUAUCAUGUAUAUUCUUCAUCGCUAUGUAUUUUUGUGGUAUACUGAAAGACUGUGUCCAUGUAGCAUCUUUCUUCACAAGUGGUAUUGUUAAUUCAUUGAAUGAUUUUUAAACACUUACUGACAGUAAAUAUAUCUUUUCAGGCUUGUAAUUUCAAAAACAAAAGCCUAACUUGAAUUAGAGUUGCUCAGUGUGAUUUAUGUUUGGACAC
ensembl:lncRNA